rnacentral:rRNA from 1 species
UACAGAGGUCUCAAGCGUUGUUCGGAUUCAUUGGGCGUAAAGGGUGUGUAGGUGGCGCGCUAAGUCGGGUGUGAAAUUUCGGGAGCUUAACUCCGAAACUGCAUUCGAUACUGGCGUGCUUGAGGACUGGAGAGGAGACUGGAAUUCAUGGUGUAGCAGUGAAAUGCGUAGAGAUCAUGAGGAAGACCAGUGGCGAAGGCGGGUCUCUGGGCCGAUACUGACGCUGAGGAGCGAAAGCGUGGGGAGCGAACAGG